rnacentral:rRNA from 1 species
AUGAACGCUGGCGGCGUGGAUAAGGCAUGCAAGUCAAGGGGGCCCGCAAGGGCAACCGGCUAACGAGGUAGUAAUAUGUAGGAACCUCCCUUCAAGUCAAGAAUAACGAGUCGAAAGAUUCGCUAAUACUUGAUAGUCUCUUCGGAGUAAAGAUUUAUCGCUUGAAGAAGGGCCUGCAAGAUAUCAGCUAGUUGGUAAGGUAAUGGCUUACCAAGGCUAUGACGUCUAGGGGAGCUGAGAGGCUGACCCCCACCGAUGGUACUGAGACACGGACCAUACACCUACGGGUGGCUGCAGUCGAGAAUCUUCCGCAAUGGGCGAAAGCCUGACGGAGCGACGCCGCGUGAUUGAUGAAGUCCUUCGGGACGUAAAGAUCUUUUAUGAGGGAGAAAGUUAUUGAUAGUACCUCAUGAAUAAGGGGUUGCUAAACUCGU